rnacentral:lncRNA from 1 species
ACUAUCAUAUUAUUACUAGUAAAUUUGUUAUUCCUGUAUGAUUGGAGACACGUCCUCGGCGAACACUCCACAGAGAUACGCGAGUGGAGGACUACACCCGUAACCAGAAUCUCUGGGAUUUAGAGAGCGUGACUUGAGUGUAUAGAUCUAUACGGGGCUGACUACCCCACACCUGGCUGCUAGCUACAGCCGAACCGAAAUGGUUCAAGGGUGACGAAAGUCAUAAGGAUGUGGACUACUUAUUGCCACAGGUUCAGUCUAUCGUAUGGUUAUGGAACUCGCAAUUAGGAUAACAGAGAUUUACUUAUAGUAAUAAUGAACAACUUUAUACACUUCACAAGAUAACCAGGUUUCGGAAUACAUCUUUUACAUUGAUAACCAACAUUCAGGAAAGUAUGGGACUUUCCUGGGAAACCUUGUACAUAACCAGGUCUAACCAGAAUACAUCUUUUACAUCUUUUACAAAUGGUAACCAACAUUCAGGAAAGCAUGGGGCUUUCCUGGGGAAAACAUUUACAUAACUAGAAAAGUGUAACAAACUGGAUAACCUUACAUCUUUUACAAUUGGUAAUAUACAAUCAGGAAAGUAUGGGACUUUCCUGGGGAUCCAUUGGUACAUAACCAGAACAGAAUAACAAAACAGAUAACCUAAAUGUACAUUUUCACAAGGGUAAACAUGUUUUCAGUGUACAACUUUACUUUACAUAAUGUGAAACAACAACCAACCUUUUUAAGAAAAUGUGGGAUUUUCUUGGCGUGUGUUACAUUUUCAGAAACAGAAAGGAAACAUGAACAUUUUCACAAAACAAAAACCACUUAUGAACUCACCAGCGUUAUGCUGAUUUUCAAACCGCUUGUGUUCUCAGGUCANNNNNNNNNNNNNNNNNNNNNNNNNNNNNNNNNNNNNNNNNNNNNNNNNNNNNNNNNNNNNNNNNNNNNNNNNNNNNNNNNNNNNNNNNNNNNNNNNNNNNNNNNNNNNNNNNNNNNNNNNNNNNNNNNNNNNNNNNNNNNNNNNNNNNNNNNNNNNNNNNNNNNNNNNNNNNNNNNNNNNNNNNNNNNNNNNNNNNNNNNNNNNNNNNNNNNNNNNNNNNNNNNNNNNNNNNNNNNNNNNNNNNNNNNGAAUCAUGAAAUACUAUGGGAGUAUCUCUCAAGCCAAUUCUUCGUAAGAAUCCUCGUUCACGUAUAGAUCCUUGAUCAAUCCAUUAGCGAUAGUUUACCUGCUUUGAUAACUCUUUCCUGCUUUAUCGCUUAUUUGGAAUAAAUAUCUGUCAUAUCUCUCGAUCCAAUUCAGAGGACUUAUCAUCCUCUCUCUUUCUUGAUCUUAUUAGAUCAACAUGCCUCCCAGAAAGAGACCCACCUCAAAGACCAACAACCCUCCGCCACCACCUCCUCCUGAAAUUGAUCCCGUGUUAUUCCAGACAGCUGUUACCGCCGCGGUGGCACUUGCCAUGUCCCAAUUGAACACCGGUGGUUCCGGUGGUUCAGGAGGUGGUACUCAAGAUCAAGAAGGCAAUCAGGGACAUCGAAGUUCCUAUAAGGACUUCAUGAAUGCAAAACCAACAUCCUUUGAUGGCACUGGAGGUGUCAUUUCUCUAUCCCGAUGGUUCGAGAAAAUCGAAUCCAUCUUCGAAAUUUGUGCCUGUGCUGAGUCCGAUAAGGUCAAAUUUGCAGCCUGUACCUUCAGUGAUAAAGCCUUGACUUGGUGGAACGGCCGAGUCAAAUCCUUGACCCUACCCGUAGCCAAUGCCAUGGGCUGGGACGCCAUGAAAGAACUCCUCCUUGCUGAAUACUGUCCCCGUGGUGAAAUGCAGAAGCUAGAACACGAGCUCUGGAACCUGAAGAUGAAAGGUUCCAACAUUGCUGCAUACACUUCCCGAUUCGAUGAUCUUGCCCUUCUCUGUCCUGGUCUGGUCACUCCUGAAAGCAAAAAUAUCGAGAGGUUUAUUUGGGGGUUAACCAAUCCAACAAAGGGUCAUGUCUUAGCUGCUCGCCCGGAUACAUAUGAUCGUGCUAAGACUUUAGCCCAAGCCAUAAUUGACCACAGUGAUGAUGUCGAGGAAACCACUACCGCUCAUGAAUCGACCAAAAGGAGUGGUGAGAAAAAAAAAUUCUGGAAGAAAAAGAAGGGUCAAUCUUCCCAAGGAUCCUCCAAAAGACAGCAAACAGUAGCAGUUCAUGCUGCUACUACCCCCGUUGCUGCUACCUCUGUUGUGGGAUUCACAACUCCAACUCCUACCAGUCGGUAUGCUGGUAAUCUCCCUCUCUAUGACAAGUGCAAGUAUCACCACAACCCCGGCCCAUGUCGAGAACUUUCCUUUACAAAUUGUGGUAAGAAGGGGCACACAGUCCGAUUCUACAAAGCUACAGCCCAAUCGGCCAAUCAAUCUUCGGGAGCAGGUGUUGGUCAAGCAUGCUACAACUGUGGUGAGGUCGGGCACUUUAAAAGAAACUGCCCUAAGAAGUCUAUAGCUGACAACGCCGGAAGGGACCUCGCCAUGGGAUGGGAGGAAGCGGUCGCUGAUCCCACAGUUGUCUCGGGUACGUUCCUUCUCGACAACUCAUAUGCUAAUAUUCUUUUCGAUUCGGGUGCGGAGAGGAGCUUUAUUAGUCAUGCAUUCAAACAUAACCUAAAACAUAAUUCCUAACCUUUAACCGAAGCGUUUACCGUCGAGAUGGCGAACGGUGAGAAAGAAAACACGAGCGAAGUGUUCGUAGGUUGUACCCUUACCCUGAACGACCAUUCGUUUCCUAUCGAUCUCAUGCCGGUAUCCAUAAAGAGCUUUGAUGUCAUCAUUGGCAUGGAUUGGUUGAGUCCCAAUCAUGCGGAUAUCCUUUGUUUCGAAAAAGCCAUCCGUCUCAACCUUCCUUCGGGUCAAACUCUAGUAAUCUAUGGCGAUAAACUCAGUUCCAACCUUCGUAUCAUUUCCUGCAUCAAAGCUCAAAAGCUCCUACGAAAGGAGUGCAUUGCAUUCUUGGCCCAUGUAAUCAACGAGAAGCACGAAGUUAAAGACCUCGUGAGCAACCCCGAAGUCUGUAACUUUCCUGAUGUGUUUCCCGAAGAGCUUCCAGGAAUUCCUCCUGAGCGUCAGGUCGAGUUCCGUAUUGACCUAAUUCCUGGAGCUACUCCCGUAGCGAAGUCUCCGUAUCGCUUAGCUCCAGCAGAAAUGCAGGAGUUAUCUAGUCAACUCAACGAGUUGCUCAGUAAAGGAUUCAUUAGACCGAGUUCCUCACCCUGGGGAGCUCCGGUUUUGUUUGUCAAGAAGAAAGAUGGAUCCUUUCGAAUGUGUAUCGAUUAUCGCGAGCUGAACAAGUUGACUGUCAAAAACCGAUAUCCUCUUCCGCGAAUAGAUGACCUCUUCGAUCAACUCCAGGGAGCCAGUUACUUUUCCUAGAUAGACCUUCGAUCAGGGUACCAUCAGCUAUGAGUUCAUGAGAGUGAUGUUUCCAAAACAACUUUCAGGACUCGAUAUGGACACUACGAGUUCGUAGUGAUGCCCUUUGGUCUAACCAACGCACCGGCGGUGUUCAUGGACCUGAUGAACCGGUUGUGUCGUCCUUAUCUGGACAAUUUUGUCAUUGUGUUCAUUGAUGACAUACUCGUCUAUUCCCGAAGCGAAGAAGACCACAAACAACACUUGAAGCUAGUGUUGGAAACUCUUCGAUCCGAGAAGCUGUACGCAAAAUUUUCCAAAUGCGAGUUCUGGAUUCGGAAGGUAACUUUCCUCGGUCAUGUAGUAAGCGAGGAGGGUAUUCAUAUCGAUCCUUCCAAGAUAAAGGCGAUAGAGAAUUGGUUAGCACCGAAGUCACCCACAGAAAUCCGGUAAUUCUUGGGUCUCGCUGGCUAUUAUCGGAGAUUCAUCCAGAAUUUUUCCAGAAUCGCCAAACCCUUAACCACUCUAACACAGAAAGGUGUACCCUUUUGUUGGAGUGAUAAACAAGAAACCGCAUUCCAGACGCUGAAGAAAGCCUUGUGCAGCGCGCCUGUUCUGUCCCUACCCGAAGGGACAGAGGACUUCGUUGUCUACUGCGAUGCGUCUACUCAAGGCUUAGGCUGUGUGCUUAUGCAAAGAGGAAAGGUGAUUGCUUAUGCUUCUUGACAGUUGAAAGCACACGAGGUCAACUAUACCAUACAUGACUUGGAGCUAGGAGCCGUAUUCUUUGCGUUGAAGAUUUGGAGACAUUAUCUCUACGGAACCAAGUGCACGAUCUUCACUGAUCACAAGAGCCUGCAACACAUCUUUGACCAGAAAGACUUGAACAUGACACAACGGCGAUGGGUAGAACUACUCAGUGAUUAUGAGUGUGAAAUCCGUUACCAUCCCGGUAAGGCCAAUGUGGUAGCAGAUGCCCUUAGCCGAAAGGAGAGUACAAGCAACAAGGUGAAGAGCCAAUCGAUAACCAUCCAUUCCAACCUACCCAUGCAAAUCCGAGAAGCUCAGUUAGAAGCCCUGAAACCCGAGAACAUGACAACUGAAGCUUUGAGAGGAAUGGAAAAGAAACUUGAGAUCAGAAGCGACGGAGUCCAUUGUUUCAUGGAUCGGAUCUGGAUUCCCAAGUCCGGAGGAUUUAAAGAGUUAGUCAUGGAGGAGGCACACAGAACCAGAUACUCUGUUCACCCGGGCUCUGACAAGAUGUACUUAGAUCUCAAGAAACAAUAUUGGUGGCCAAACAUGAAGGCUGAGAUAGCUACAUUUGUGGGCAAGUGUCUGACUUGCGCCAAGGUUAAAGUUGAGCACCAGAAACCCUCGGGUCUGCUCCAGCAACCUGAGAUACCUGAAUGGAAAUGGGAGAUGAUCACCAUGGAUUUCAUCACCAAACUACCCAAGUGCUCGAGUGGGUAUGAUACCAUUUGGGUGAUUGUCGAUCGUUUGACAAAAUCAGCUCACUUCGUUCCAAUCAAAGAAUCAUACAAGAUGGAAAGACUCGCACGGAUAUAUAUUCAAGAGGUAGUCCGACUACACGGUGUACCUGCAUCCAUUAUCUCUGAUCGAGAUAGCAGGUUUACUUCCCGAUUUUGGCAGUCUCUCCAGAAAGCCCUUGGAACCCAACUAGACAUGAGCACGGCAUACCAUCCUCAGACCGACGGACAAAGCGAGAGAACAAUCCAAACCCUGGAGGACAUGCUUAGGGCAUGUGUCAUUGACUUUGGAAAGUCGUGGGACGCACAUCUACCUUUGAUCGAAUUCUCGUACAACAACAGUUACCACACCAGCAUUAGGGCUGCCCCGUUCGAAGCCCUAUACGGUCGCAAGUGCAGAUCCCCUCUGUGCUGGGCCGAGGUAGGAGAUACACAGUUAGCCAAGAGUCGAGUCCCCGACAGUGCACUUACUGGUCCUGAGAUCAUCCGUGAAACCACUGAGAAAAUUAUCCAAAUCCGUGAACGACUAAAGGCCUCGCGCGAUCGUCAGAAGAGUUACGCUGAUAAUCGUCGGAAACCACUAGAAUUCCAGGUUGGGGACCGUGUUCUGUUGAAGGUCUCGCCCUGGAAAGGCACUGUACGCUUCGGUAAACGUGGGAAACUUAAUCCGAGGUACAUUGGACCUUUUGAAAUCAUCGCCAGAGUUGGUCCGGUAGCCUAUAAGCUUCAUCUACCUCACGAACUUAGUAACAUCCAUCCCGUCUUUCAUGUUUCAAACCUCAAGAAGUGCCUAUCCGAUGAAACCCUAGUGAUUCCAUUAGACGAGAUUGAGAUCGAUGAAAACCUCAACUUUGUGGAGGAACCAAUCGAAAUCAUGGAUCGAGAAGUCAAACGUACGAAACAGAGUCGCAUCCCGUUGGUGAAGGUUCGCUGGAAUGCCAAGCGGGGACCGGAGUUCACUUGGGAGCGAGAAGACUCGAUGAAACAAAAAUAUCCACAACUCUUUCUAGGUCCAUGAUUUGUAUUUUCUCUUAUCUCUUGUCUUGAAUUUCGGGACGAAAUUCCCUCUAACGGGGGGAUAAUGUAACAACCCGAAAUUUCAUGUCACUUCUUGUACCACAACUUGUAAUCCAAUCCGAUCAACCAGACGUCAUUUUCAAUUUCGUUUCCAAUUUCGCCAUUUUAUUAAGUCAUUAGUUUAUAUUGACCUAAAAUGACUUAAUGGGUGUCUUAAUACAUUUAGAAAUCAUUUUAACACCCCACUUUAGUGAUCGGAAUAAUUAUAGAAUCGGCCAUAUCGAGUCACGACAAUUUGGUCGGGUAUGACCAAAAGCCUCACUUAACGUCGGUAUCGGGUAGAAUUCCGCCGUGUCCAAUUCCCGAACACUAUAUAAAUGAUUCAAAGCUUCCAUUUGAAGCUUUUGGCCAUCUUUCCUUAAUCACUCUCCAACCUCUCUCCUCAUCCAUAAUCAAAUGUCCAAAAACAAAGAUUUAAGGCUCCAAAUCAAAAAGGUAACAUCCCUAACUUGUUAUCUAACCUAUUUAGCCUUUAAAUUGAUGUUUAAACAAGGAUUUAGGACAUGGAACAUGUGUUUACGGCCAAGGACCAAUUAACCCUUCCAAAUCAUUGUUGGGACUUAGAUACGACUUUGAGGCUUACAAAUCGGGACUUGAAACACUUAAAUCUUGAACUUUAAGGGACAAAAGAGAGUUUACGGCCAAGGAAUGUGCUUGGGCCAUAAAUUCCUCAAACAUGGGGGUAAACACCUUUUUACAUGUUAGAUUGCCUUGAAACUUAGCCAAUAGCCUUGGAAUAAAUCAUAGAACCAUCUAAAAAUAGUUUGGGGGGGGGGUUUAACAUAUCAAAAUGCCACAUAUAGGAGUUUACGGCCUUGGCACAUACUCUUAGGCCGUAAACUCAUAAAAGUAUGUUAGAUGAUGCCCUUAAAUCACUCCAAGGCUUGGAAAAAUUACUAGAAUCACAUAUGAUUGCUCUAAGUGCUUCAAAACAGUUUCUCUUGACCAUAGGAGAGUUUACGGCCGUAAACUCCAAGUUUACAUCCGUGAACUCCCUUUUAAGUGGUAUAAAUUCAUUUAAAUCAUUCCAAGACAUUUUAGUAAUUCAUUCCAACAAUCCCCAAGUCCAAACAAGCCAUUAAACCCUCAAAAUCACACCCACAUGAGUUCACGGCCAUGAACUCAUGUAUGUGUGUGGUAUAUGGCCGUAAACUCAUUUAAAUGUUUACUCUUGGGGAGUAAACUCAAAUCCCAAGUCCCUAGUGCCAUUAUACAUCCGUAGAUGUCACCCGGGUCACUCCAAACACUCGUUUUGAGGUGUUUAACCUCAUUGGAGUGUAAUGUUCCAUCUAAUUAGUGAAUUUAAAUAUAAUUAGAUAUAUAUGGACAUUAUUUCAUUUUACAUAGGGACAUCGCGAGUAAUCAAGCCCCGAACCAACGCCUAGUGUCUGAAACCGUCGCAUUUCCGAGUCUGGUGAGUUCAUACCCCUAUCCUUUUUCAUUGUUUUCACUGUUUUCAGGGGGAACACAAGCAAAGUACAAGGGUUUUCUUGUACUCAAAAACUUGUUUUUGUAUGUGUAUUUCACAAUUUAUAUGCUUUUAACACUGAUUGAUACAACAGAUAACUGUUUGAACAUGCAGAUUAUGUAAACAUAUUAUUUAUGAAAUGGGUUUAUAAACUGAUGUGUUUUAUAUAAUUCACAAAUGUUUUUCCACAUUUUAUCAGUUAAAAGCAUGACAUUAGAACAUAUGAACAUAAAACUUGUACACUGUUUGUCCUCGGUAACACUCCACAGAGAUACGCGAGUGGAGGACUAUCAUAUUAUUACUAGUAAGUUUGUUAAUCCUGUAUGAUUGGAGACACGUCCUCGGCGAACACUCCACAGAGAUACGCGAGUGGAGGACUACACCCGUAACCAAAAUCUCUAGGAUUUAGAGAGCGUGACUUGAGUGUAUAGAUCUAUACGGGGCUGACUACCCCACACCCGGCUGCUAGCUACAGCCGAACCGAAAUGGUUCAAGGGUGACGAAAGUCAUAAGGAUGUGGACUACUUAUUGCCACAUGUUUAGUCUAUCGUAUGGUUAUGGAACUCGCAAUUAGGAUAACAGAGAUUUACUUAUAGUAAUAAUGAAC